AAAUUGAAGAGUUUGAUCAUGGCUCAGAUUGAACGCUGGCGGCAGGCCUAACACAUGCAAGUCGAACGGUAACAGGAAACAGCUUGCUGUUUCGCUGACGAGUGGCGGACGGGUGAGUAAUGUCUGGGAAACUGCCUGAUGGAGGGGGAUAACUACUGGAAACGGUAGCUAAUACCGCAUAACGUCGCAAGACCAAAGAGGGGGACCUUCGGGCCUCUUGCCAUCGGAUGUGCCCAGAUGGGAUUAGCUUGUUGGUGGGGUAACGGCUCACCAAGGCGACGAUCCCUAGCUGGUCUGAGAGGAUGACCAGCCACACUGGAACUGAGACACGGUCCAGACUCCUACGGGAGGCAGCAGUGGGGAAUAUUGCACAAUGGGCGCAAGCCUGAUGCAGCCAUGCCGCGUGUAUGAAGAAGGCCUUCGGGUUGUAAAGUACUUUCAGCGGGGAGGAAGGGAGUAAAGUUAAUACCUUUGCUCAUUGACGUUACCCGCAGAAGAAGCACCGGCUAACUCCGUGCCAGCAGCCGCGGUAAUACGGAGGGUGCAAGCGUUAAUCGGAAUUACUGGGCGUAAAGCGCACGCAGGCGGUUUGUUAAGUCAGAUGUGAAAUCCCCGGGCUCAACCUGGGAACUGCAUCUGAUACUGGCAAGCUUGAGUCUCGUAGAGGGGGGUAGAAUUCCAGGUGUAGCGGUGAAAUGCGUAGAGAUCUGGAGGAAUACCGGUGGCGAAGGCGGCCCCCUGGACGAAGACUGACGCUCAGGUGCGAAAGCGUGGGGAGCAAACAGGAUUAGAUACCCUGGUAGUCCACGCCGUAAACGAUGUCGACUUGGAGGUUGUGCCCUUGAGGCGUGGCUUCCGGAGCUAACGCGUUAAGUCGACCGCCUGGGGAGUACGGCCGCAAGGUUAAAACUCAAAUGAAUUGACGGGGGCCCGCACAAGCGGUGGAGCAUGUGGUUUAAUUCGAUGCAACGCGAAGAACCUUACCUGGUCUUGACAUCCACGGAAGUUUUCAGAGAUGAGAAUGUGCCUUCGGGAACCGUGAGACAGGUGCUGCAUGGCUGUCGUCAGCUCGUGUUGUGAAAUGUUGGGUUAAGUCCCGCAACGAGCGCAACCCUUAUCCUUUGUUGCCAGCGGUCCGGCCGGGAACUCAAAGGAGACUGCCAGUGAUAAACUGGAGGAAGGUGGGGAUGACGUCAAGUCAUCAUGGCCCUUACGACCAGGGCUACACACGUGCUACAAUGGCGCAUACAAAGAGAAGCGACCUCGCGAGAGCAAGCGGACCUCAUAAAGUGCGUCGUAGUCCGGAUUGGAGUCUGCAACUCGACUCCAUGAAGUCGGAAUCGCUAGUAAUCGUGGAUCAGAAUGCCACGGUGAAUACGUUCCCGGGCCUUGUACACACCGCCCGUCACACCAUGGGAGUGGGUUGCAAAAGAAGUAGGUAGCUUAACCUUCGGGAGGGCGCUUACCACUUUGUGAUUCAUGACUGGGGUGAAGUCGUAACAAGGUAACCGUAGGGGAACCUGCGGUUGGAUCACCUCCUUA
rnacentral:rRNA from 13 species